UACGUAGGCAGCGAGCGUUGUUCGGAAUUACUGGGCGUAAAGAGUGUGUAGGCGGUGCUCCCAGUCUGUUGUGAAAUCUCCCGGCUUAACUGGGAGGGUGCAGCGGAAACUAGAGUGCUAGAGGGUGGGAGAGGUAAGCGGAAUUCCUGGUGUAGCGGUGAAAUGCGUAGAUAUCAGGAGGAACACCUGUGGUGUAGACAGCUUACUGGACCGCUUCUGACGCUGAGACACGAAAGCGUGGGUAGCAAACAGG
rnacentral:rRNA from 1 species